AUUGAACGCUGGCGGCAGGCCUAACACAUGCAAGUCGAGCGGUUGAAGGGAGCUUGCUCCUGGAUUCAGCGGCGGACGGGUAAGUAAUGCCUAGGAAUCUGCCUGGUAGUGGGGGAUAACGUCCGGAAACGGGCGCUAAUACCGCAUACGUCCUGAGGGAGAAAGUGGGGGAUCUUCGGACCUCACGCUAUCAGAUGAGCCUAGGUCGGAUUAGCUAGUUGGUGGGGUAAAGGCCUACCAAGGCGACGAUCCGUAACUGGUCUGAGAGGAUGAUCAGUCACACUGGAACUGAGACACGGUCCAGACUCCUACGGGAGGCAGCAGUGGGGAAUAUUGGACAAUGGGCGAAAGCCUGAUCCAGCCAUGCCGCGUGUGUGAAGAAGGCCUUCGGAUUGUAAAGCACUUUAAGUUGGGAGGAAGGGCAGUAAGUUAAUACCUUGCUGUUUUGACGUUACCAACAGAAUAAGCACCGGCUAACUUCGUG
rnacentral:rRNA from 1 species